GACGAACGCCGGCGCCCCGCCUCACACAUGCACGUCGAACGGAAAGGCCCUGCUUUUGUGGGGUGCUCGAGUGGCGAACGGGUGAGUAACACGUGAGUAACCUGCCCUUGACUUUGGGAUAACUUCAGGAAACUGGGGCUAAUACCGGAUAGGAGCUCCUGCUGCAUGGUGGGGGUUGGAAAGUUUCGGCGGUUGGGGAUGGACUCGCGGCUUAUCAGCUUGUUGGUGGGGUAGUGGCUUACCAAGGCUUUGACGGGUAGCCGGCCUGAGAGGGUGACCGGCCACAUUGGGACUGAGAUACGGCCCAGACUCCUACGGGAGGCAGCAGUGGGGAAUAUUGCACAAUGGGCGGAAGCCUGAUGCAGCAACGCCGCGUGCGGGAUGACGGCCUUCGGGUUGUAAACCGCUUUCGCCUGUGACGAAGCGUGAGUGACGGUAAUGGGUAAAGAAGCACCGGCUAACUACGUG
rnacentral:rRNA from 1 species